CAGUAGCCGCGGUAAUACGGAGGGGGCUAGCGUUGUUCGGAAUUACUGGGCGUAAAGCGCACGUAGGCGGCUUGGUAAGUUAGAGGUGAAAGCCUGGAGCUCAACUCCAGAAUUGCCUUUAAGACUGCCGAGCUAGCAGGUGAGAGAGGUAAGUGGAAUUCCGAGUGUAGAGGUGAAAUUCGUAGAUAUUCGGAAGAACACCAGUGGCGAAGGCGGCUUACUGGCUCAUACUGGACGCUGAGGUGCGAAAGCGUGGGGAGCAAACAGGAUUAGAUACCCGAGUAGUCCCUGUCUCUUAUAC
rnacentral:rRNA from 1 species